AGAGUUUGAUCCUGGCUCAGGAUGAACGCUAGCGACAGGCUUAACACAUGCAAGUCGAGGGGCAGCACAGGUAGCAAUACCGGGUGGCGACCGGCGCACGGGUGAGUAACGCGUAUGCAACUUGCCUAUCAGAGGGGGAUAACCCGGCGAAAGUCGGACUAAUACCGCAUGAAGCAGGGAUCCCGCAUGGGAAUAUUUGCUAAAGAUUCAUCGCUGAUAGAUAGGCAUGCGUUCCAUUAGGCAGUUGGCGGGGUAACGGCCCACCAAACCGACGAUGGAUAGGGGUUCUGAGAGGAAGGUCCCCCACAUUGGUACUGAGACACGGACCAAACUCCUACGGGAGGCAGCAGUGAGGAAUAUUGGUCAAUGGGCGCGAGCCUGAACCAGCCAAGUAGCGUGAAGGAUGAAGGCUCUAUGGGUCGUAAACUUCUUUUAUAUGGGAAUAAAGUUUUCCACGUGUGGAAUUUUGUAUGUACCAUAUGAAUAAGGAUCGGCUAACUCCGUGCCAGCAGCCGCGGUAAUACGGAGGAUCCGAGCGUUAUCCGGAUUUAUUGGGUUUAAAGGGUGCGUAGGCGGCCUUUUAAGUCAGCGGUGAAAGUCUGUGGCUCAACCAUAGAAUUGCCGUUGAAACUGGGAGGCUUGAGUAUGUUUGAGGCAGGCGGAAUGCGUGGUGUAGCGGUGAAAUGCUUAGAUAUCACGCAGAACCCCGAUUGCGAAGGCAGCCUGCCAAGCCAUUACUGACGCUGAUGCACGAAAGCGUGGGGAUCAAACAGGAUUAGAUACCCUGGUAGUCCACGCAGUAAACGAUGAUCACUAGCUGUUUGCGAUACAUUGUAAGCGGCACAGCGAAAGCGUUAAGUGAUCCACCUGGGGAGUACGCCGGCAACGGUGAAACUCAAAGGAAUUGACGGGGGCCCGCACAAGCGGAGGAACAUGUGGUUUAA
rnacentral:rRNA from 1 species